GAUGAAGAACGUAGCGAAAUGCGAUACGUAAUGUGAAUUGCAGAUUUCAGUGAAUCAUCGAAUCUUUGAACGCACAUUGCGCCCCCUGGUAUUCCGGGGGGCAUGCCUGUCCGAGCGUCAUUGCUGCCCUCAAGCACGGCUUGUGUGUUGGGCCCCGUCCUCCGAUCCCGGGGGACGGGCCCGAAAGGCAGCGGCGGCACCGCGUCCGGUCCUCGAGCGUAUGGGGCUUUGUCACCCGCUCUGUAGGCCCGGCCGGCGCUUGCCGAUCAACCCAAAUUUUUAUCCAGGUUGACCUCGGAUCAGGUAGGGAUACCCGCUGAACUUAAGCAUAUCAAUAAGCGGAGGA
rnacentral:misc_RNA from 1 species